UGGAGCAGGCUUCAGGGGUAAGCCCUGAUAAAAGGGCAGGAACUGGACUUCCAAGGAGAGAGCCUGGGAGGUGUUCAGUGGAGGAACAGCAAAGGGAAUUUAAGAGUCAUGAAAGGCCAAGCCUAAGGAAGAUGGAACUUGGUUUGAGUUUGUACUUUUAGUUUGGGUUUGUUAAGGCAUUACAGGGAGGACUCCAAGUCCUAGCCCUGAGUGAAUGGUGAACCCAGAAACGUCUGGAAGGAGAAUGCCUGAGAAAGGCUGAGUAGGAGGAAGCCCAGGAAGACAGCAGCAAAGAGUUGGAUGAAGCAGUUCUCUGUUCCUGGUCAUAGGAUCUCUGGGCUGGAAAAUGUUGUAGUGAGGGCCCAGGUUCCCCUACCAGCCUCUGGUAUGGUGAUAUGUGGCUGGAGAAGGGGACAAGGAUGUCAGAGAGCCCUGAGAAAAGAAGGUGAGGCCCAUGGGGCCUACAGUCAGAGCCGAAGACCUGAUACAAGUUCUUGGAACUUGCUUUGUUGGACUUUUUGUUACCCUCGAAGGAAUGGACUUAAAUUGAGACCUGUCUGGAAAGCCGCGUUGUGGGAAGCGACAGGCUACCGGAGGACUAGAGAUGCUGUGAGCGAGGGGCGCCAAAUCGGGAGAGAACCGCUAUGCCACACCUGGCCAUGAGGAGGCAUUCUAGAGGUGAAACAGUUCAGCAAUACUGACCUGAAUUUGCUAAAUGGUUCAGUCCACCCAAAUGCACAUUUUUUUGGCCAGGAAAAGGUUCAUUUGAAGAAUUUUGAGCAGCUCAGGGUCUUUUCGCCACCUCAAUGAUAGUAGAAGGAAUGGACAAAAAUAACAUGGAUAACGUGCAUGAAAGAAGCUCUGUACAAUUAAGUUGUACUGAUGAAUGACAUGAGACAAGGGCCUAUUCCAGGCGUACGAGCUAUCUGUUUUACUAGCCUCCACAAUUCUUCCAUAGAUGCUUUUACUGUCCAGCUGCCUGAUGUGUGUACACACCAUGAGACUUGCAGGAUUGGGAAGGAAUUUUCUCCCAGGAGGAGAAUGCGAGGACCUACACAUUAUAGAUGACUGAUAGACUGCAAAUCCAAAGGAUACAUCAGCUGCAGAGGUUGAACUAGUGCAUAAUGUCUUGGGCAGAUGCAACGCCCGUCCAAAUACCAAGCGAUAAGGUGGAGGGACCCUGGAUUUGGAUGUCUGAUCUUGCCCUUGUCUUGCGUCAAGAGAUCUAGAAACAACUGGAUACUGACAGGUGGACAGCCUGACAAAGUUAGGGAACCAAAAUUGUCUGAGCCACCUGGGAGCAAUGAGGAUAAUCACUGCCCCAUCCCACUGAAUCUUUCCGAGGACUUCAGGUAAGAGAGGAAUUGAGGAAAGGGACUGUAAGGGUCCCACACACGAGAUUUGGAGGGCACCCACUUUGGAGUCCUGAUCUUGACGGGAAUCCCCAUUGUCUGAAUAUGCUCUUCACCAGGGAAUCAUGUAGUUCCUAUUCAUGAGUGAUCACGAAGUGUCUGCUGCGUCUGUCCAGAGUCGUGCUGAUACAUGUUAUGGUCUCCGAUGGAACUAAAUUCUGUGUUCACACAGAUUCCCAGUAAUUUUAGAAGACUGAAUAGAGAGGAGGUUGAUGUCAGUACCUCCUGAUGAAAUCUCCCUGUCAACAGCCAACCGUCUAGGUAAGGAAAGACUGUUGAGCCAUGGCACCGGAUGUGUGCAGCCACUACUGAAAGCAUUUUCAUACAUACUCUGGGUGCUAUUUCUAGUCCAAAGUGGAGUAUCCUAUAUUGAUAAUGGUUUGGACCUACAAUGAAACUCAGGAAUCUUUUGUGAGAGGGUAAAUGUCUACAUGAAAAUAGGCAUAAGAAUGGUGAUCCAUCCCGUUGCCUAUUCCCAGCUUCUGGCAAACAGAGGAUAGGAACACCAUCUCUGUCCAUCCUGGCUUAUAGCCAUUCAUGGACCUAUCCUCUAUGAAUUUAUCUGCAUAUGCGCAGAGUGUUAGGCGUAGUCAGAAUCACAAGAUAAAAGAGGGCUCCCACAUUGGGUAAAAUGAGUUCCCUAUGGGAAAACUCCAGCAGGAACCAUCCCUCUACUGAUGAUCAAUUGUCAAGGCAGCCAUCAAACCCUAAGAAUAUUGUGAUGUGAGAGCAUGACUAUAUUUGUAACUUGUGCAUAGGUCUUGAUAGGAUUUCUAUAUGCAUGGGUAAUUGUAACUUUAAUAAAACUUAUA